rnacentral:rRNA from 1 species
CACUUCUAAGGAAGGCAGCAGGCGCGCAAAUUACCCAAUCCUGACUCAGGGAGGUAGUGACAAGAAAUAACAAUAAACCGGCUUAUGCCGGUUUAAUUGGAAUGAGUACAAUUUAAACAUCUUAACGAGGAACAAUUGGAGGGCAAGUCUGGUGCCAGCAGCCGCGGUAAUUCCAGCUCCAAUAGCGUAUACUAAAGUUGUUGCAGUUAAAAAGCUCGUAGUUGGAUUUCUGUGGGGACGGAGCGGCCGGCCGCAACACGCGGUUCGAGCUAGCGCUUUCCCUACAUCCUGCCGCGAACCGUGCUACCAUUAAUUUGGUGGCGCCGGGGAUCGGCUCGAUUACUUUGAGAAAAAUAGAGUGUUCAAAGCAGGCCACAUGCCUUGAAUAAGUUAGCAUGGAAUAAUAACUAAGGACUUCGGUUCUAUUUUGUUGGUGUUCGGGACUGAAGUAAUGAUUGAUAGGGACAGUUGGGGCGGUCUGUAUUCCAAAGCGAGAGGUGAAAUUCUUAGACCUUCGGAAGACAAACAGCUGCGAAAGCGUUCCGCAAGGAUGUUCCCUUUGAUCAAGAACGAAAGUUGGGGGAUCGAAGACGAUCAGAUACCGUCGUAGUCUCAACUAUAAACUAUACCAGCUAGGGAUCGGCCAACGUUAUUUCAUACCGACUUGGUCGGCACCUUAUGAGAAAUCAAAGCAUCUGGGUUCCGGGGGGAGUAUGGUCGCAAGGCUGAAACUUAAAGGAAUUGACGGAAGGGCACCACCAGCCGUGGAGCCUGUGGCUUAAUUUGACUCAACACGGGAAAACUUACCAGGUCCAGACAUAGUAAGGAUUGACAGAUUGAUAGCUCUUUCUUGAUUCUGUGGGUGGUGGUGCAUGGCCGUUCUUAGUUGGUGGAGUGAUUUGUCUGGUUAAUUCCGUUAACGAACGAGACCCCAGCCUGCUAAAUAGCGCGCGUGAGCUUUGCUCGCGGCGAGCUUCUUAGAGGGACUCUGAUGCGCGAUAGCACAUGGAAGUUUGGGGCAAUAACAGGUCUGUGAUGCCCUUAGAUGUUCUGGGCCGCACACGGGCUACACUGGCGCCUGCAACGAGCAUAUCAGCUGGCCCGAGAGGGUCUUGGCUAAUCUUUUGAACCGGCGCCGUGCUUGGGAUUGACCUUUGCAAUUGUUGGUCAUGCAACGAGGAAUGCCUUGUAAACGCGAGUCAUCAGCUCGCAUUGAAUACGUCCCUGCCCUUUGUACACACCGCCCGUCGCUCCUACCGAUGAAUGUUCCGAUGAAAUUUUCGGAGAGUGCCUGUGAACUUGGCUCUGCCUUGCGAACGGGAAGCUCAAAGUCACUUAAAUCUGAACAUUUCGAGG